rnacentral:tRNA from 1 species
ACUCUUCUAGUAUAAUUAUUACAAUUGACUUCCAAUCUUUAAAAUCUGGUUGCACUCCAGAGAAGAGUA